rfam:Yersinia ruckeri strain 37551 YRO1b0000023, whole genome shotgun sequence.
GAUGAAGUCAAACUCCUAGCCUCCGUGUCUACGUUGCUGGUGCAAUAUGAUGCUCAGGCCGUGGCUUAUCGCCACCAGGGUGCAAGGUAGAAAUGCCUGCAUCUCCCGUAUUUGGAAAGGUGUUAUGGUACCGCAACU